GCUCUUUAUCCUUGGGUACGCAUUCAUACUCAGAUUCAACCUGCUCCCAUAGCGCAUCAUGGCACAGAGUUGCCCAGUUACCAGCAAAUACAACAUUCACCAUGCAGCCGAAAGCUUACCUUGACAGCACCAGUAAGAUCUCCGAAUCACAACCACAAUACAAACAAAGCGGUGAACUAUGUGAUUCGAGAAAACACAGCACAUAAGACAGGACAAUGUCCUCUGAAUUUCUACAAUUGAACUCCAGGUCAAAACAUUGGCAUGUGAAGCUCACUGAAUCUGAAGCUAGGACAAGGGACAUAGAGUUUCCUUACUGGCAGCAGGUUGUCUAUCAUCACUAUGGUGAGUCUUCUCCGUGUGCAUAACAAAACACAGGGGAGCCUUUAUCAACUGAUUGUUUAGAAAACAAGUGGAUGGUAGUACAAUAAAAUAAUCAUCGGCAUCGGUGAAGAGAUGGGAGCACAAAAAUCUGAUGGCAAUGCAUCAAAAGGACAAAUGUACCAAGAU
rnacentral:lncRNA from 1 species